GAGAAGAUUCGACCUAUUGAUAAGAAGCUUGAGUACCAGAUUCAGAAGCUAACAAAAGUUCCCGUUGUGUCAAAAGAGAAUGCAUUCACGAACGAAAAGGAUUCAGCUACACCUCAGGCUAUGGAUGAUCGAUUAAAAUAUCGUCCAAACCCUGACAUGCUCAUCAGUAAAACAGAAGGAGCUGCUGAGGAUGGAGAUGGUAUAUAUCGUCCACCAAAGUUUGCCCCGACCUCUAUGGAAGAAGAUAAGAAGUCUAGGAAGGAAAGAAAUUCAUUGAGAAAGGAUUUAGAGACACUCCGACAAGCUAGACAAAGUGAUUAUAUGAGGGAGCUGAUGGAUGACAUGGCUGGGAAACCUGAAGAGAUUAAAGAAACCGUUGGACUGGAAAAUAGAGAAGUUGCUAGAUAUGUGGCAAGAAUGGAGGAACGUGACCGAAGAGAAGAGGAGCUUUUCACUCGUGCCCCACUUACAAAGAUGGAGAAAAAGAGAGAAAAAUACCUAAAGAAGUCGAGAUAUGGGAUGGGUGGUGUAACUGAUAGUUUCUAUGAAGAAGUAAAAUCCUUGCCCUUGGAAGGUGCUGAUGGUGAGCAACCGACAGAUUUUGGUAGUGGUAGCGGAAGAAUGAAAAAACAUAAGAAACGCAAGAGUAGGCAUUGAAGACCAG
rnacentral:misc_RNA from 1 species